rnacentral:rRNA from 1 species
GACGAACGCUGGCGGCGUGCUUAAUACAUGCAAGUCGAGCGAGGUCCAUCUGGUGGCAACACCAGUGAAGGCCGAGCGGCGAACGGGUGAGUAACACGUGAGCAACCUGCCCCGAAGUCUGGAAUAACAUCGGGAAACCGGUGCUAAUACCGGAUCGCCCCACCUGACCGCAUGAUCGGGUGAGGAAAGAUUUAUCGCUUCGGGAGGGGCUCGCGGCCUAUCAGCUAGGUGGUGGGGUAACGGCCUACCAAGGCGUCGACGGGUAGCUGGUCUGAGAGGACGACCAGCCACACUGGGACUGAGACACGGCCCAGACUCCGUACGGGAGCAGCAGUAGGGAAUCUCGCGCAAGUGGGACGAAAGCCUGACGCAG